CCUACGGGAGGCUGCAGUGGGGAAUAUUGCGCAAUGGGCGAAAGCCUGACGCAGCGACGCCGCGUGAGGGAUGAAGGUCUUCGGAUCGUAAACCUCUAUCAGCAGGGAAGAACGGUCACUGUGCUAAUCAGCAGUGAAUUGACGGUACCUGCAAAGGAAGCACCGGCUAACUUCGUGCCAGCAGCCGCGGUAAUACGGGGGGUGCGAGCGUUAAUCGGAAUUACUGGGCGAAAAGCGCUCGUAGGCGGUAUGUCAAGUCAAGGGUGAAAUCCCCGCGCUCAACGUGGGAACUGCCUUUGAAACGGGCAAACUGGGGGGUGUGAGAGGAUAGUGGAAUUCCAGGUGUAGGAGUGAAAUCCGUAGAUAUCUGGAGGAACAUCGGUGGCGAAGGCGACUAUCUGGCACAUAACUGACGCUGAGGAGCGAAAGCGUGGGUAGCAAACAGGAUUAGAUACCCUGUAGUC
rnacentral:rRNA from 1 species